CCUACGGGUGGCAGCAGUGGGGGAUAUUGCACAAUGGGGGGAACCCUGAUGCAGCGACGCCGCGUGGGUGAAGGAGCGUUUCGGCGCGUAAAGCCCUAUCGGCAGGGAAGAAGGAGGACGGUACCUGACUAAGAAGCCCCGGCUAACUACGGGCCAGCAGCCGCGGGAAUACGGAGGGGGCAAGCGUGAUCCGGGUUUACUGGGUGUGAAGGGGGCGCAGACGGCAGCGCAAGCCAGGAGUGAAAGCCCGGGGCGCAACCCCGGGACUGCGUUUGGGACUGUGCGGCUGGAGUGCAGGAGGGGCAGGCGGAAGUCCUGGUGUAGCGGUGAAAUGCGUAGAUAUCAGGAGGAACACCGGUGGCGAAGGCGGCCUGCUGGACUGCGACUGACGUUGAGGCCCGAAAGCGUGGGGAGCAAACAGGAUUAGAUACCCCAGUAGUC
rnacentral:rRNA from 1 species